rnacentral:rRNA from 1 species
GACGAACGCUGGCGGCGUGCUUAACACAUGCAAGUCGAACGAUGAAGCUGGAACUUGCUCCGGUGGAUUAGUGGCGAACGGGUGAGUAACACGUGAGCAAUCUGCCCUUGACUCUGGGAUAACUGCGGGAAACUGUAGCUAAUACCGGAUACGAGGCUCGAAGGCAUCUUCGGGUCUGGAAAGAAUUUCGGUCAAGGAUGAGCUCGCGGCCUAUCAGCUUGUUGGUGAGGUAAUGGCUCACCAAGGCGACGACGGGUAGCCGGCCUGAGAGGGUGACCGGCCACACUGGAACUGAGACACGGUCCAGACUCCUACGGGAGGCAGCAGUGGGGAAUAUUGCACAAUGGGCGAAAGCCUGAUUCAGCAACGCCGCGUGAGGGAUGAAGGCCUUCGGGUUGUAAACCUCUUUUAGCAGGGAAGAAGCGAAAGUGACGGUACCUGCAGAAAAAGCACCGGCUAACUACGUGCCAGCCGCCGCCGUAA